rnacentral:lncRNA from 1 species
GGAGUGUUGUAGAAAGAGGAGGAGAAAUGGGCAGUGGCUGGACAGGGGAGUUGGAACAAGAAAGAACUCUUCUUAAAGGAGCCACCAGAGAGGCACAGAAGUCACCUCACAAGGCCUAAGGAAACAGCAAAAUCAUUCUUCGUGGAUACCGCCUUCAUGUGAUAUGAUGAAGAUGACCAAUGAAAAUCUAUAAACUACUCAAAGCUCCCUUAAAUGAUAAACUGUAGAGGUGGGUAAGGAUAAUAUACCCUUUAAUAUUAGAUCUCACCAACAUUAAGCUAUCUUGAUUGAUGAAGUUUUGAUUUCCUUUCAUUAUAGGAAUUUUUCUCCAAAUUCCUCUAAAAUCUAUGUAAAAUGCUUAGUAUGUUGACUUACUUGAAUUGCUAUAAUAAUUUUUAAUAUUUAUUUAUUUAUUUAUUUAGAGACAGGGUCUGGCUCUGUCACCUAGGCGGGA